AAUCAGUCCCUGAUUAGAGGGGAAUCACCCAUCUGGUGUCCCAGGUCUAAAUCAGUCCCUGAUUAGAAGGGAAUCACCCAUCUGGUGUCCCAGGUCUAAAUCAGUCCCUGAUUAGAAGGGAAUCACCCAUCUGGUGUCCCAGGUCUAAAUCAGUCCCUGAUUAGAAGGGAAUCACCCAUCUGGUGUCCCAGGUCUAAAUCAGUCCCUGAUUAGAAGGGAAUCACCCAUCUGGUGUCCCAGGUCUAAAUCAGUCCCUGAUUAGAGGGGAAUCACCCAUCUGGUGUCCCAGGUCUAAAUCAGUCCCUGAUUAGAGGGGAAUCACCCAUCUGGUGUCCCAGGUCUAAAUCAGUCCCUGAUUAGAAGGGAACAAUGAAAAAGUGCAGUGAAACUGGCUUCGAGGUCCAGCGUUGAGUUUGAGGGCCCUAUAUAGUGCACUACUUUUGACCAGAAACCUAUUGGCCAUGGUCAAAAGUAGUGCACUAUAUAUGGAAUAGGGUGCCAUUUGGGAUCAAAAGUAGUGCACUAUAUAGGGAAUAGGGUGCCAUUUGGGAGGGCCUACUGGGUUGUAGUUAUUUGCUAUAGUGUUUCCCUGUCAGGCCCUAUGGUCAGGAAUAACUCCUACCCCUAGGCAAAGAGUUGAAAAAAUAAUAAAGAUAACAUUUAAAUGGGAUUUUUCUUGUCGUCCGACCUAGAUCCUGUAAAUGUGUAUAUCUCCCGAAAAUCCCAAGCCACGCCUUUCAGUGCUCAGCUUUGUCAAAAUAAUACUCUCUGUUCUACAAUUGUUUACAAUGCAACACGUUUGUAAAGUAUUUUUCACAUGUCAUAACUGACCAGUCUUGGUGUAUACUCUUUGAUCCUCUCAUUCAUCUUUCGCAAUGUAUUUAUUUCUAAAAACAAAUAUUUUACUUUUUUAUUUUAUUUUAUUUUUUAGCUUUCGAUAACCCAUCUUGUACUGUGACUUGACUUGACCGACGGUAUGAAUGAGUGACACGAAACUGAUACGCUUCAACGGAACAUGACACAAACAGGAAUACAUAAACAACAACAAAAAUGCAUUAACAAAUAUUGGAAAUGUGUACAAGUGAAAGUUGUGGAAAAUGUAAGAUAUAUAUAUAUUAAAACAAAUGUUGCAACCCUUUUAA